rnacentral:rRNA from 1 species
CCAGCACCUCAAGUGGUCAGGAUGAUUAUUGGCCUAAAGCAUCCGUAGCCGGCUCUGUAAGUUUUCGGUUAAAUCUAUACGCUCAACGUAUGGGCUGCCGAAAAUACUGUAGAGAUAGGGAGUGGGAGAGGUAGACGGUACUCGGUAGGAAGGGGUAAAAUCCUUUGAUCUAUCGAUGACCACCUGUGGCGAAGGCGGUCUACCAGAACACGUUCGACGGUGAGGGAUGAAAGCUGGGGGAGCAAACCGGAUUAGAUACCCGGGUAGUCCCAGCUGUAAACGAUGCAGACUCGAUGAUGCAUUGGCAUAUAGCCAGUGCAGUGUCGCAGGGAAGCCGUUAAGUCUGCCGCCUGGGAAGUACGUACGCAAGUAUGAAACUUAAAGGAAUUGGCGGGGGAGCACCACAAGGGGUGAAGCCUGCGGUUCAAUUGGAGUCAACGCCAGAAAUCUUACCCGGAGAGACAGCAGAAUGAAGGUCAAGCUGAAGACUUUACCAGACAAGCUGAGAGGUGGUGCAUGGCCGUCGCCAGCUCGUGCCGUGAGAUGUCCUGUUAAGUCAGGUAACGAGCGAGAUCCCUGCCACUAGUUGCUAUCAUUAUUCUCAGGAAUAGUGGGGCGAAUUAGUGGGACUGCCGUUGUUAAAACGGAGGAAGGAAGGGGCUACGGCAGGUCAGUAUGCCCCGAAACUCUGGGGCCACACGCGGGCUGCAAUGGUAGCGACAAUGAGUUCCAAACUCGAAAGAGAGUGGCAAUCCCUAAACGCUACCACAGUUAUGACUGAGGGCUGUAACUCGCCCUCACGAAUAUGGAAUCCCUAGUAACCGCGUGUCAUUACCGCGCGGUGAAUACGUCCCUGCUCCUUGCACACACCGCCCGUCGUUUCAUCGAAGUUUGCUUUUAGCGAGGUGAUGUUUAAUUGGCAUAAUCGAACUGAGAAGCGCAGAG